rnacentral:misc_RNA from 1 species
GUGAAUCAUCGAAUCUUUGAACGCACAUUGCACUCUCUGGUAUUCCGGAGAGUAUGCCUGUUUGAGGGUCAGUUUUAAUAAAAAUCGGUGUGGUUGCUGCCUUUCGUGGUGACGCACCGGAUCUGGGUCGCCUUGCCUUCGGUUAAGUGACCUAACAUCUUGCAUGAUUUUUUAGAACGUAUUUAAAUGAUCUUACGUCCGUUUGCGAUAUCGAAUACUAGGUGCGGCUAUCC